GUUAUGGCUCAAUGGUAGAGUGCCUGCCUUGCAAGUGCGAGGCCCUGGGUUCGAUCCUCAGCACAACA
rnacentral:tRNA from 1 species